rnacentral:rRNA from 1 species
GACGAACGCUGGCGGCGUGCUUAACACAUGCAAGUCGAACGGAAAGGCCCUGCUUGCAGGGUACUCGAGUGGCGAACGGGUGAGUAACACGUGGGCGAUCUGCCCUGCACUUCGGGAUAAGCCUGGGAAACUGGGUCUAAUACCGGAUAGGAGCCAUUUUUAGUGUGAUGGUUGGAAAGUUUUUUCGGUGUAGGAUGAGCUCGCGGCCUAUCAGCUUGUUGGUGGGGUAAUGGCCUACCAAGGCGGCGACGGGUAGCCGGCCUGAGAGGGUGGACGGCCACAUUGGGACUGAGAUACGGCCCAGACUCCUACGGGAGGCAGCAGUGGGGAAUAUUGCACAAUGGGCGCAAGCCUGAUGCAGCGACGCCGCGUGGGGGAUGACGGCCUUCGGGUUGUAAACUCCUUUCGCUAGGGACGAAGCUUUUUGUGACGGUACCUAGAGAAGAAGCACCGGCUAACUACGUG